ACUCUAAAAAUGGCUGGGUUAUUUUUUAACCCAAAAUGCUGGGUUGAGUCUGUUGGGUUGUUUUGCUGGGUUAUUUUUUUACAUUUUAAACACUUUUUGGGUAGUUUCAGUUUUCUAGGUGUUGGGUUAAAACUGCUGGGUUAUUAUGUUGGGUUGUUUGAAGAGGCUCACGUGCUUCGCGCCCUUGAUGUUUGAAUGUGCUCAGCAAUGGUCGUCGUGAAAGGACAGAGUCACUGAAGCAGUUGUUUCAAGAGUGUGCAGAGUUUUAACGUCCAUCCAUUGAUGAGGCUAGCAAGACCUUCAAACAACUUCAGCCAAUUGCAACAAAUGUGGUGGAAUUUCUUCUCUGGACAGAAUCCUCGAAACCCUUUCCUUUCGUCCUGGCCAUGGGAAACAUGCAGCAGACCUCUCAAUCUUUUUUCUCAAUCAGUCUCUCUGAAUACGGAAGUGACUUAAACUGCAAUUCGGCCAAGAUGGCGACGACACGCACCGCCUACUUUAAGCUUCAAAAAUGCUCUUCACAAACCAAUGGGUGACGUCACAGACACUACUUGCAUAUUUUUUACAGUCUCUGGUUUAAAGGCAUUUUAAGUGCUUAAAAAAAUAAAUACCCCAGGCAAUGUGCUUCUAUGGGAAUUCCUGUAGUCUGUCAUUUUUCAAAUGGAUGAAUCCCCUGCUGUUCGAUUCCUUUGUACAUCUUUGUUCGCGACGAGUAACUUUAAUAAAUGAAGUAUUUUUAGUCAAAUACAUUCCAUUCUGUGAAACUUAAAACAUUUGUUCUUUAAAAAAACUUUACA